AGUGAACGCUGGCGGUAGGCCUAACACAUGCAAGUCGAACGGCAGCACAUUAAGAGCUUGCUCUUACGGGUGUCGAGUGGCGGACGGGUGAUGAAUACAUCUGAAUCUCCUUUUUCGUGGGGGAUAACUUAUGGAACCUUACGCUAAUACCGCAUACGCCCUACGGGUUACCGCAUGGGCUCUUCGGACCUUGCGCUAUUGAAUGAGCCGAUGUCGGAUUAGCUAGUUGGCGGGGUAAAGGCCCACCAAGGCGACGAUCCGUCGCUGGUCUGAGAGGAUGAUCAGUCACACUGGAACGGAGACAAGGACCAGAAUCCUAAGGGAGGCAGCAGUGGGGAAUAUUGGACAAUGGGCGCAAGCCUGAUCCAGCCAAACCGCGUGAGUGAAGAAGGCCAUCGGGUUGUAAAGCACGUUUGUUGGGAAAGAAAAGCAGCAGGUUAAUAGCGAGCUGAUCUGACGGUACCCAAAGAAUAAGCACCGGCUAACUUCGUG
rnacentral:rRNA from 1 species